GCGGCUGUCCUACAACUACAAUGUUCACUGUACUGUCAACUUCAUUUUUUAUACUGGAGGACAGGAAAUAGUCAGAAGUAACAUCAUUUAGCCCAUUAAUCCCAAAAGAUGAUUCAACUGGCUCUUGCUUAAUUUGUUUGAACUUGUCAUCCUUCUCAGACUUCGUUUUUUUUCCUUUUUUGGAUGGUCUUUCAGAUAAUGGCAGCAUCCGGUACACCCUGAAGGCAUUGUUUCCUUUCUUUAUACUUUUGUCCUUCACUUCUUCUAUAUCAGGCAGAGAGUUCAUAGCACACCGGAAGUUUGCCUUCCAUGUCUUUGGGUCGGGUUUAUCUACUCCUGACUGGUAUUUUCCUGUGUGAAUUGCCCAGUUUCUAAAUAAGGGAGCAUCUUUUUCAACAUCCCACCCAUGUCUUGCAGCAUGCAUCCAGGGAAUCUGAAAAAUCUUCUUCUCCUUAUUUAUCCAUUUCAGCCCUGGUAUUGUGUUAGAAUUUAUUUGUUCUUCCAGCCAUGGGCGCAUCCGCAUUCUUUCGACAGGCAUUGUUACCUGCGCUGGAAGGAGAUUUAGGCUUCUUCUUCUCUCCCCCACUACACCAGGCUCAGCUCCUUCCUCUCUCCUUUGUUCUUCACAUCUGCGUUCUCUGCAUCAUUCUUAACUUCUCUGCUCUGCUAUUCUUGUC
rnacentral:lncRNA from 1 species